AUUGAUUAAAAAAUUAUUAGCGAUUAAUUAAAAUGGAGGUGCAGCAUGAUAAAAGGGAAAAGACUAUAAAGGAGAAAAAGCCAACACACGCAAAACAGUAUCUGCCAAAACCCAUCUGUGUUUUUACUCUACCUAGAACAGUAAUGAUAAAAAAAAAAAUCAAAAUAAAAAACAGCUAACUAAAUAAGGAGGCAGAGAGACAGGCCAAUCUUUGUUUUUUCGUUACUUUCCAAUUUAAUUGUUUUAUUUAUUCAAGAAAAAAAAAACAAAAUGGUUGAACAAAAAAGGAUGUCUUUAUCUCUGUGAGAAGGACAUAGCAUAAGCUUGUUUCUCUCUCCUAUUUUCUCUACUCUCUGAUGAUCAUCAUGAUGAUGGUGAUAUAUGUGCAUGUACAAUGAUAUCAUCAUGAUAAAUGUACAUGAUGAUGUAAUUGAUGUUUGAUGAUAUUGCAUGAGGAAAAUUGUAUGAUUCUCAUUGCUCGCGUGAGAAGCGUGAAGGUCUCUACUCUUUUUAAAAAUUAACAGUUAAUGAAUUUAUUUAUUUUUAACUUAAGAGUUAUGAAUUCUAGCAAAAUAUUUUUUAUGAAUAGAAAAACAAACAGAAGGAUCGUCAUUUUUUGGCUAUUAAAUAAUUUGAUAAGGCUUUUAAUGUUUUUUUUUGAAACACUUUUAAUGUUAAAUAUAUAUUCAGUCAGUUUUAAGUUGUAUCAUGUAUGGUACGGAUCCGAUUUAACUUUGAUCGUUUGUCAAGGAUUAAAAGGGAGUCGACAUGUGUGGCUGGUUAAGUACAAUCUGUGUUUGGUUGUGUAAAAUAACGAUUUGUACAGAAUCAAUGUCUGGACAAAGGGAUAGCUUCUUAAUAUAAUAUACGGUGAGACAAGAUAAAAGAAUACGUAUUUUAUACAGAACUAUACGUAAUUAAUAAAGAGAAAGAGAGAGUAAUAAAAUUAAAUGACAUGUGAGGUCUCAUCAUGAGUCCAACUUUGUGCAUGCGCUUCGAUUUUCUACAUGGCAGAUAUACCCACGUAGCCACCUAUACACCUUUUUCUUCUAUUCUGGACUGGUUUGCGUUUUUGUUCAAAAAAAAAAAGGACUGGUUUGCGUUUUGUUAUUUUAAAAUACAGCUACUAAUACUUUUUCUCUGUUAAAUACACCCAAAUAUAUAUUCUUUUCAAGUUCUAUUCUUUUCACAAAAGACCACUUAACAUUAUUGACUACGAGGUUUCUUCUCGCGCCACUCAACACGUUUUUCUUUUGAGUUUUGAGUUUACUUCGCAUCAUGAGGCAUUAGGUUAUACUACAUCAUAUUUGUAUAUAUGAACUACGAUGUAAAGAAGUUUUUGGGCUAAACCUAGUAUUCAAUUUUUGUUGUUUAAUAUCCACGUCUAAUAAAGAAAUGAAAAAAAAUGAGAGAAUAAAAUGAGAUUUGACUUAUAAAAAAAAGGUUUGGACUUGUUUAAAAGAAUUUCACUUAACCUAACUGUUGAAUGGUAUACGUAAUACCUAAAUUUUGCUACAAACAUAACAACGGAUUUAAUAUACAUCUUGAUCUCGUAAUUGUCCUAAGAAAAAAGGUGAAAAUACGUCACAUUCAAUACUUUUAUCAGUUUAUAUGUUACCAAACUUAACUAAUGCUGUUAUAUAAAGUAUUUAUCGAUUUACAUACCUAAUACAAAUAUACAACAGCACAUUGCACAUGUAAUUAAAAUCAAAAGAAAGUCUAUAUAUACCUUAUAACAAGUAUGUUUGUUUUACAAUAAGAGCAAAUUAAAGAGUAACACAGAAGAAAAAAGAGUUGGUCAUAGUUUGAUCUCAGAUGUAGUAGUUUUGUAAUUCGAUCAUAUGUAUCAGCCUGUUUUUCCUGAAAAUGGACUUACAUAAAUGAAUUACGAGUUUUCAUAACCUGAUUAAAAACAAUAUAUGUUGAUUAUAUAUAUUAUAUAUCAGCUUAUUUGUUUACUGAAAAUGCAUGGACUCAUAUGUAGUCUACUAGGAUUUGAGAUAGUUGUAAAAAAAAAAAGGACUCGUAGAAUUUUAUCAUGGAGCCAUGGAGGGAUAUUCUCGACACAUGAUAAAUCUAGCAGCAUGCAUUCAUAUAAACAACCACAGUCUGUAGAUUACAUAUAUUGGCCCUAAUAAUUAAGGAGUCGGCAUUUUGCAUUUUGACUGUUCUCUGUUCCCUCGGCUUGAAUCCUGAAAGGGAUAUAGGAUAGGACCCAUAACACAUUAUGCAUUAUGCAGUGCUCUUUCCUAAAAGGCUUUGGAUGCUUUCGUAAUAAGGAAAUAAAAAGUAUAGUUAGAGUGCGUAGUUUGGUUGCUGGAGAAAAAAAGAAUGUCAAAGCUUUUAAUUUGACAAUAUCUAUCUUUACAAAAUAAUAAUUAGCUUUAUUAAUAUAUAUUUUUACUUGUGGUGCCAACUUUUUAUUUUAGCAAGAGGCAUGGAGCAUGAGAGUACCCCACUGGGCCAAGUCCACUUACUCUUGUUCCCAUGUCAGUAUGUCACACACUACAUACAUCGCUUGAUUUCCCAAAUUUCCAAUGUUUUCUUUUCUUUUCCGUUUCCACCAUUUAUAUUCAUCUUUUUAGAGCUCCAUACAAAUGGACGCAUAGAUCUGAGCUUGUAUCUCGUUUCAUACGUGAACUAUAUAUGUAUAAAGUUUCAUGUUUUUAUUAGUUCCAGUUAUGUGUAAACCAUGUUUUUGUUUGUCAAACAAGGGUAAUUGGAUGUUCGACGCUCGGGAUACCAAAUCUCAUGGAGUUGAGGUUAGAACGAAAAAAACUGUAAAACAUGAUAAAUACUAAUGUAAUUUUUGCGAAUAAGUUGAGAUAUAGUUAGUACCGUACGUGAGUGCAGUCUAAUGUCUAGUUUCGAUUAAGACUAAGCAGUGUUUAUUAUGAUCAGCUGAAUUGAAAUAUUGCAAUGUUGGAUCGAAAUCAGGGAUCUCUUUUCGUUGACAAAACUUUUCUACAAUCACUACAAGAUUUACAUGGUAUAACUAUAAUAAAUGGCGUAUUAAGUUGUGCAUUUUGUCAAAAUACAUCAAUUCAUUACGAGUUAUAUAUAAAUUACUUGCUGUGUAGUCUAUAAAAGCUAAAUAACAACAGCAAAGCAUCCAUCAUAUAGCUAAUCAAGCUUUAUUUGAUAAAAAAAGGCUAAUCAAGCUUUAUUAUCAUGUCCAUAUAUACAAUACAAGGUAAACCAAAAACAAAACAUGAGUUUACUCCAUAAAUGGGAAAUCGAUGCAGCAAUGAUAUUGAAAUCACACACUCAAUGGAAAGGAAAGCACAAGUGUCUUUGUAUACCACUCUAUGGAAUGAAAUGGAAGUUAACAAAAAGUCAAAUUAAAAGCCCUAUUUUUUCCACAAGUCACAAUUGUGUUCUUCUUGCUUUGCUUCAUUCUCACAUCUCUUUCUUCUGUUCCUAUUGUUUUAAGGAAUGAGAGAGAGGUGGAGGGAGGGACCCAUGCAUGGGCAUGAUAGAGGUGUAAAGUCAGGCAUGGAUAGAAAAGAAGCCUCCAACUUUGAUAGGCUGCUCAUGCAUAUAUAGUAUCGAUCAUAUAGUAUUCAUAUAUAUGCAUAUAAUAAUUAUGAGUGGGAUUAAAGUUUGUGGAUAUCACUCGCCAUGAGGUUAACAAUAUUGGAGCUUAUAAAAGACGUCCCACAAAUAUAAUUUUUCCAUUACGUCAUAUGACAACAUCGAAUAGGAUUUGAAGAAUCAUGAAGAAGAGUAGAAGAUGAUCAUUUCCAUAAAAUAACGGACUCGUUAGUCAAAGAUGUCCAUAUUCAUUCAUCUAAUUCUAAUCUAAGCAUUCGUUAGUCAAAAUAACUAAACAUCAGAUAAAUCUUAAAUUUAUCUUAACCAAAUUAUAGAUUUCUAUCGCUGAGUAAUUUUUAUGCUAAACUAUAUCGCUGAUUAAUUGUAAGAAGAUAUAGCGAGUUGGUUAAAUUUUAUUUUUAUCCCUUUAUCAACGUCUCUUUUCUGUAUACAAUUUACAAGCCACAUUUUAACUAUAUAAAAUGUUAUAAGAAACAAAAAAAAAAGUAAGUUAGAAAAGCGUUAUUAGCAGCAACACAAUUUUAACAUGACAAGAAAAUGAAGUUCAUAAUGUUCAAAAAGAAAAAUAAAAUGAAGUUCACUAUAAAAAAAAAGUGCAAAUAUAAUGGGACAGCCAGAAUGUGAUCCACGUGUCUAAAACUGAUGCUCUGUCUAGCAAAAUAUGGCAUCAUCAUACAUAUCAAACGCUACUUAAACCUUAAAUAUAUUCUUUUUUGGUUCAAAUAUCUAUAGCAUAAAACAGAGAUGCAGAUGGUAGGAAAUGGUGGUGGCUUGAUUACUAAAGGAGUAUAGUAGGAUGUAGGCCUUUCAUAUUAUUUAGAUCCAACAACCAUGAAGAUGAAGAAUAGAUAUGUACAUUAGUACUUUGUUAGCUUUCUUUUCCAAUGAAGCGUUGUAGCAAUCAUUCCCUUAUAUAUAAUUUGAGUUAUAUUUCUUACACAGACACACACACCGAAACACACGAUACCACUCAAUUGUAUGGGUGUGUGACCUGACUCGCAACACAUAGAACUUUUGAAAACAUUCCAACAUCUUAUAUUCUUGUUAAUAUUUUCUGUUAUUUAUCAUAUUUUUCCUUUAUUUUUUGGGAACUUGUAAGGAUUUCAUACGUUAUUUAUAUUUAAGGUUUUAAAUUUAUGGUUCACCAGUAGUUUUAAUAAUAAUUUUCUAUUUCAGUUUUAUAUAUAUUGUAUGGAGCAUAUUAUACAUAGAUGUUCAAGCCACUAAACUACAUGGAGCAUUGUUGUAGACUGUUUCAAAUUCAAUUACAUCAUACAAACUGAUACAUGGCUGGGAAGACCAAUACGAAAAGUUACUUUUUGUGUUUCAGAUUCAUCCUCUUUUGAGAAUGAUGAGUACCUCUGUAUUUUUGUAUUAUUAACAACCUAAAUAUGGGUUUUGAAAUAAAUAAUUACAUAUUUAUGUCAUAUUUUGAAAUUUUGCUCAAAAGAAAACAUCCCAUGUUAUGUGACUUUGACAUGAUUAAUGAGAAAAUUUGUGUUAUUUGUGGAUAUAUCUGUUUAACUCAUGAAAGCUUCGUCUAGUAAUUGAAUGAUAUGUAUACCUAUAAGUCAAAUUUUUCCUUCAUAUAGAAACUCGAGAAGGAAACACAUGUGUCACCUAUUUUGAUUUUGUAUAAAUGAAAUUUUGUUUUACAAGUCUUUGAAAAUAUUCACAUAAACCGUGCAGUCCAAAGAGAGACGGUAACUAAAGCGCAAUAAGCCAACAACCUAAACUUCAGCCAGAAGCUGUCUGAAAAUCAAAGCAAUGCUUUUAAGGAACCUUAUUAAAUCAAGAAUUUUUAUAAAAAGAUUAUACACAAAAGGUUGCAAGAGAACAAAACAUGGCUUCUGAUAUGUAAACUGUCUGGAAAUGAAAUGAUUAUGCUUACUGCAUAAUAAAGUGGCAAACUAAGAAAGAAUAUUAUACCCUUGUUUUUGAAUUGAAUGUAAAAUUAUAUUUAAAUCAAGCUUGGUUACAAUAGAUGCAUCUUGUUUUUGAGAAUCAGGUUUGGAGAUACAGACUUUUUAGACAUAUUUUCUUGAUGAUCCGAUGAAACAAAAAUGUAAGCCGUAUACAAUGUCGCCUACAGUUGUCUACAUCUAUGUUCCUCUCGAACGUCUUUUUUUCUUAAUUUCGUGUGAGAAAAAAUGAUAGCUAUUAAUGAUGUAACAUCUGUGGAAGAAGUUAGAACUUUUCAAACCUGGUUGGCGCAUCUAAAUUAAAUUGUUACACUCUUGGAUUCGAGUAUAUGCUACUAGUGAAUAGACACGAGAGAUGGUUCUUGCUGAUGAAUCCUGUGUAAAUUCAAUUUUUUAAUAAAAUUGACAACAAAAGUUUCCUUCAGAUAUUCUAAACAUAUAAUCAACAAUUUUUAUAAAUAUUUCUUCUCAUAUCAUAUUAAACAAAGCAAACAAAUUAUACAAACCUAUUAAAAAUUACGAUAUAUCAAAGUUUAUAAAAGAUUAUGACCAAAAAGAUAAAUUAAAACUAUUUUAUUUCAAUAAUAAAUAACACUUAAUUACUUAUUUUAUGUCAAUAAUUUGUUACAUUUGAGACUAAAUCCGUGUUAAAACACAUACCUAGAUCUAGAUUCGAACCGAACCUAAAUUUUUUGGUCGGUUCCGGUUUAGGUAAAAUGGCCAGACCCACAUGCCACAUAAAUACAUCAAAGAAACACCGAAGUAAAAGCUAGGCUAGAUCAAAAAUGGUCUUGUGACGAAGUGAGUAACUCAAAUCCCCAAGGAUGGAUGAAUGAUCUCAAAACCAUCAAACAAGAAAGAUAAAGAUAUUUAGGCAGUCUUGGGUAUUUUGACAGUAAUUCUAAUAUGUUUAAAGGGUAAUAUGGGUAUUUGACCAAUUCAAACUCUUGCCCAAGUAAGUUUACCAAGAAUGGUCAUCAAGAAUGCUUAGAAGUGUUGACGACCUUAAACCCAUCGAAGCUUAGCAGAGGAAUCUCCCUUUCUCUCUACUGUCGAAUUGUUUCUUGUAGCCAUAAGGUAAAAUGCUUUGCUUUCUUUCUCUUCUUCCCCUGUAUGAAAUUUCCCUUUUGAUACUUUCCUUAAAUGUCAAAAACAAACACCCUAAACUUAAGGAACUUUCAUUCUUGGGUUUGUUUCCUGUAGAUUUUGUUUCUUCAUUUCGUAUUCCAUAUCUUGUGAUGAGUUCGUUGACUUGUCUAAGAACAUAAUGUCUCAGUUUACACAUGGUUCUUGGUUAUCUCAUUUAUGAUAUCAAACUAUACUUCUGCGCCGCACAAUGUUGCAGCUUAGUUAGCUAACUCGUGUGAGAGAAGAGCGCAAUGAGCUGUUUUAGUUGGUGCGGGAGUGACUCCAGACCAAUGCAACCGCACAACAGACCAAUGCAACCGCACAACCCAGCAGGUAGCUCUGGUUCUUGAUCUCAACAGCAUUGCUUGUCAGUGUUAUCUUAGUGUCCAAUCAUUUAACUUCUACUGGGUAAAUUGGAUUGUUUCAAUUGUUGUUAAGGUCACUAUCAAAGAGAUGAUCAGUCAGUAGUUCAGACGCAGAGUAUUGCUGUACCAGCCAUUCCAGUGGAUGAACUGAGAGAUAUAACUGAUAACUUUGGUUCAAAGGCUUUGAUCGGUGAGGGUUCAUAUGGAAGAGUGAACGUAACGUAAAACCUUACGGUGUUUUACGGUUCACUAGGAGCCUCUAACUUCAAAGCUCCAGAGUAAUGCCCUUUUAGAUAUACUCUUUUUUUUUUAUUCAGACUAAUCCAUUUUUUUUUGAAACACUUCAGAUUCAGACUAAUCCAUUCUGAUGUUUUUUUUUCAAUGGUUGUUGGUUCAAAAAUGUUUGGUUCUUAAUGCCCUGAAGUUAAGACUAAUACAUUUUUGGUUCUUAGUGACAUCAAAUGUUUUUUUUUCUUAUCAUUGUUCUUCUUAGCAUCUCUUCUCACUGCCAAAUCAUUUCGGUUGUGUUCAGGUAUAAAAUAUUUGGAGUAUUGACCAGAAAGAGAUGUAUACAGUUUUGGCGUUGUUCUGCUGGAGCUCCUUACAGGUCGUAAACCAGUUGAUCAUACCUUACCGCAUGGAGAACAAAGUCUAGUGAGAUGGAUACAGUCUUCUCUGCUUCUGAUUCCAGUUUGCUAGCAGUGAUACGAAAAGCUUUUAAGAAAGACCAAUUUUAAUAUGAACUCAUUCAAGUCUGUUAAACAACCAAAGAAGCUGGAAAAAUCAAGAAGAGAUUGACUAUACUACGAAUAUUUCCUAAAAAUGAAAUAAAUAUAUUUGUGUGUUGUCUUAGGCCUACUAAACUAAGCAAAGACAAAGUGAAGGAAUGCGUUGAUACCAGACUUCUCGGAGAGUACCAUCACAAAGCUGUUACCAAGUUAGCUGUGGUGGCAGCAUUAUGCGUGAAAGAUGAGGCAAAGUUAAGACCAGACAUGAGCAAUGUGGUGAAGGCCCUUCAGACUGUUCAAGACUUCACUUUUCUAUCAGGGUUUUAACUUUAUAAUGUUCUUUCUUAUAUUUUGUGUUUUAUGCUUAUUAUCAUCUUUUAUUCCCACUAAUUCUCUUCCAUUAAUAAUUUAAACAAUGUAUGUGUCUAUCAUUCUAUAUCUCUCGUAUUUUUUAUACU